GGGGGGAGCCCCGGAUCCUGGGCUGUGUCCCCCACGCCCUGGGCUCUGGGGCCUGCACCGCUGGAAUCGCGCUCCCGGCCCAGCAGCCCCCU
rnacentral:pre_miRNA from 1 species